AAUAGAUGACACCGUUGACUUUUUCUCACAUAUUUGACCAUUCGUCUUAUUUAAAAAAAUUUACGUAAUUAUAAUUUAUUUUGUUAUGAGUUUGUUUUAUCACUCAUGAUACUUUAAGUGUGAUUUAUAUCUUAUAUAUUUGCAUAAAAUUUUUAAAUAAGACGAAUUGUCAAACAUGUGAGAAAAAGUCAACGGCGUCAUCUAUU
rnacentral:pre_miRNA from 1 species